rnacentral:rRNA from 1 species
CCUACGGGGGGCUGCAGUGAGGAAUAUUGGUCAAUGGGCGCAAGCCUGAACCAGCCACGUCGCGUGAAGGAAGACGGCCCUACGGGUUGUAAACUUCUUUUGUAAGGGAAUAAAGUGUAGUACGUGUACUAUUUUGCAUGUACCUUACGAAUAAGGAUCGGCUAACUCCGUGCCAGCAGCCGCGGUAAUACGGAGGAUCCGAGCGUUAUCCGGAUUUAUUGGGUUUAAAGGGUGCGCAGGCGGGAGAUUAAGUCGGCGGUGAAAUUUUGCAGCUUAACUGUAAAAGUGCCUUCGAAACUGGUUUCCUUGAGUGUAGAUGAAGUAGGCGGAAUUUGUGGUGUAGCGGUGAAAUGCAUAGAUAUCACGAGGAACUCCGAUUGCGCAGGCAGCUUACUAAACUACUACUGACGCUCAGGCACGAAGGCGUGGGGAUCAAACAGGAUUAGAUACCCGUGUAGUC